rnacentral:rRNA from 1 species
CUUUACUGUAGCCUGGUAUUGGGUUCGGGCUUUGACUGCGCAGGAUAGGUGGGAGACUAUGAAGCUGCCCUUGUGGGGGCAGUGGAGUCAUCAGUGAGAUACCACUCUGUCAAGGCUAGAAUUCUAACCGUCUGCCGUUAUCCGGCGACGGAACAGUAUCAGGUGGGCAGUUUGACUGGGGCGGUCGCCUCCUAAAUGGUAACGGAGGCGCGCAAAGGUUCCCUCAGGCUGGUUGGAAAUCAGCCGAAGAGUGUAAAGGCAGAGGGGAGCUUGACUGCAAGAGCAACAACUCAAGCAGGGACGAAAGUCGGCCUUAGUGAUCCGACGGCGCUGAGUGGAAGGGCCGUCGCUCAACGGAUAAAAGUUA